GAACGCUGGCGGCGUGCCUAAUACCUGCAAGUCGAGCGAACGGACGAGAAGCUUGCUUCUCUGAUGUUAGCGGCGGACGGGUGAGUAACACGUGGAUAACCUACCUAUAAGACUGGGAUAACUUCGUGAAACCGGAGCUAAUACCGGAUAAUAUUUUGAACCGCAUGGUUCAAAAGUGAAAGAAGGUCUUGCUGUCACUUAUAGAUGGAUCCGCGCUGCAUUAGCUAGUUGGUAAGGUAACGGCUUACCAAGGCAACGAUGCAUAGCCGACCUGAGAGGGUGAUCGGCCACACUGGAACUGAGACACGGUCCAGACUCCUACGGGAGGCAGCAGUAGGGAAUCUUCCGCAAUGGGCGAAAGCCUGACGGAGCAACGCCGCGUGAGUGAUGAAGGUCUUCGGAUCGUAAAACUCUGUUAUUAGGGAAGAACAUAUGUGUAAGUAACUGUGCACAUCUUGACGGUACCUAAUCAGAAAGCCACGGCUAACUACGUG
rnacentral:rRNA from 1 species